GCUUUGUUAGCUCAGUCGGGAGAGCAUGAGACUUUUAAUCUCAGGGUCACGGGUUCGAGCCCCGUACAAAGCU
rnacentral:tRNA from 1 species